rnacentral:rRNA from 1 species
UACGGGGGGGGCAAGCGUUGUUCGGAAUUACUGGGCGUAAAGGGCUCGUAGGCGGCCAACUAAGUCAGACGUGAAAUCCCCAGGCUCAACCUGGGAACUGCGUCUGAUACUGGAUGGCUUGAAUCCGGGAGAGGGAUGCAGAAUUCCAGGUGUAGCGGUGAAAUGCGUAGAUAUCUGGAGGAAUACCGGUGGCGAAGGCGCAUCCUGGACCGGCAUUGACGCUGAGGAGCGAAAGCCAGGGGAGCAAACGGGG